rnacentral:rRNA from 1 species
UACGUAGGGGGCUAGCGUUGUCCGGAAUCCUUGGGCGUAAAGAGCGUGUAGGCGGCCAAGCAGGUCCGCUGUGAAAACUCGAGGCUCAACCUCGAGACGUCGGUGGAAACCGUUUGGCUAGAGUCCGGAAGAGGAGAGUGGAAUUCCCGGUGUAGCGGUGAAAUGCGCGGAUAUCGGGAAGAACACCCGUGGCGAAGGCGGCUCUCUGGGACGGUACUGACGCUGAGACGCGAAAGCGUGGGGAGCGAACAGG